AUUGAACGCUGGCGGCAGGCCUAACACAUGCAAGUCGAACGAGUGGCGGACGGGUGAGUAAUGUCUGGGAAAAUGCCUGAUGGAGGGGGAUAACUACUGGAAACGGUAGCUAAUACCGCAUACAAUCAGAUGUGCCCAGUGGGGUUUAGCUUGUUGGGGGGGUAACGGCUCACCAAGGCGACGAUCCCUAGCGGGUCUGAGAGGAUGACCAGACACAAUGGAACUGAGACACGGUCCAGACUCCUACGGGAGGCAGCAGUGGGGAAUAUUGCACAAUGGGCGCAAGCCUGAUGCAGCCAUGCCGCGUGUAUGAAGAAGGCCUUCGGGUUGUAAAGUACUUUCAGCGGGGAGGCGUUACCCGCAGAAGAAGCACCGGCUAACUCCGUGCCAGCCGCCGCGGUAAUAC
rnacentral:rRNA from 1 species